UCCGUUUCUGUUUGCAGCAUUUGGGACAAUUCCAUACUUGGCCGAAAUCUCAUACAUAGGUGUGGAAGGUCUCUUUUUCUCCUACUACACUCAUAAUCAUCAACUUCUUGCAAUGUACUGCAACUCAUCAUCAACUUCUGUUGCCUCCAACAAAAUCUUCACUCAACCUGUGAAUCCUGAAACUGGAGAGCUUCAUGGUGAACCCACAAUCAUGCUAUCUAACCCCUUUAUCAAUGCUAGCUGGAUUGGUGAAGCACUUAAUGUCUCAACUGGGUUUUCCUCAUUCAGAACCAACUGGGUCAAUUCUGAUCUUUUGUUCCUCACUUCAGCCAGAAUCAUCAGAAGAGGACUCAUCUCUCUUGGCUUUUCUGCAACGCCAAUAACUGAUUCUGUCAUUCGCAUUGACAAACAACAUGGCACAAGCUCCUAUUUAGCUACCAAAGAUGGACAAGUUGUUGUGCCAGGGAUUCAACUCACCCAUUUCCUCAUUUCUAAUGAUACAGUUUCGUUUCAAUCACUGAAUGCAAAUGCUGAUGGGGCCACUGUCUCAUGCAAGGAUCAAACUGCUGCUUCUAGUUUCAAUAUUAGAGAUAUUGCAUAUUCAAUUCACUGCUACACCAUCGAUAUAAUGGGAAUCGAAUCGGUGUAUGUGUUGGCUGUCCCAAAAGAAGGACAUGCAAUCAUUGAUCGGAAUUACA
rnacentral:sRNA from 1 species